rnacentral:rRNA from 1 species
AUUGAACGCUGGCGGCAGGCCUAACACAUGCAAGUCGAACGAGUGGCGGACGGGUGAGUAAUGUCUGGGAAACUGCCUGAUGGAGGGGGAUAACUACUGGAAACGGUAGCUAAUACCGCAUACCAUCGGAUGUGCCCAGAUGGGAUUAGCUAGUAGGUGGGGUAACGGCUCACCUAGGCGACGAUCCCUAGCUGGUCUGAGAGGAUGAUCAGCCACACUGGAACUGAGACACGGUCCAGACUCCUACGGGAGGCAGCAGUGGGGAAUAUUGCACAAUGGGCGCAAGCCUGAUGCAGCCAUGCCGCGUGUAUGAAGAAGGCCUUAGGGUUGUAAAGUACUUUCAGUGGGGAGGCGUUACCCGCAGAAGAAGCACCGGCUAACUCCGUGCCAGCAGCCGCGGUAAUUC